AAUUAAAAAGCACGUAUAUAGUAAAACUUCCCGGCUGAGCAAGUCGGGCGGAUAAUUCUGAUCGGUCGCCUCGUAACAGAGGGCCAUGAACCUCGUCAGGUCCGGAAGGAAGCAGCGAUAAGUGAUACCUUCUGUGUCGUGGAUUGAUCCCGGUCACGCAAUUAUCCGCCCGACUUGUUCAGUCGGGUUUUAUUU
rnacentral:SRP_RNA from 1 species